rnacentral:rRNA from 1 species
UCGGGAAUUUUGGGCAAUGGGCGAAAGCCUGACCCAGCAACGCCGCGUGAGGGAUGAAGUAUUUCGGUAUGUAAACCUCGAAAGAAUGGGAAGAAUAAAUGACGGUACCGUUUAUAAGCUCCGGCUAACUACGUGCCAGCAGCCGCGGUAAUACGUAGGGAGCAAGCGUUGUUCGGAUUUACUGGGCGUAAAGGGCGCGUAGGCGGCGCGGUAAGUCACUUGUGAAAUCUCUGAGCUUAACUCAGAACGGCCAAGUGAUACUGCUGUGCUAGAGUGCGGAAGAGGCAACCGGAAUUCUUGGUGUAGCGGUGAAAUGCGUAGAUAUCAAGAGGAACACCUGAGGCGAAGGCGGGUUGCUGGGCCGAGACUGACGCUGAUGCGCGAAAGCCAGGGGAGCAAAC